AGAGUUUGAUCAUGGCUCAGAACGAACGCUGGCGGCAGGCUUAACACAUGCAAGUCGAACGCGUGUAGCAAUACACGAGUGGCGCACGGGUGAGUAACGCGUGGAUAUCUGCCUUUUGGUUCGGAAUAACCCCGGGAAACUGGGGCUAAUACCGGAUGGUUCCUUCGGGAUAAAGAUUUAUCGCCAAAAGAUGAGUCCGCGUCCGAUUAGCUAGUUGGUGAGGUAAUGGCUCACCAAGGCGACGAUCGGUAGCUGGUCUGAGAGGACGAUCAGCCACACUGGGACUGAGACACGGCCCAGACUCCUACGGGAGGCAGCAGUGGGGAAUAUUGGACAAUGGGGGCAACCCUGAUCCAGCCAUGCCGCGUGAGUGAUGAAGGCCUUCGGGUUGUAAAGCUCUUUUGGCGGGGACGAUGAUGACGGUACCCGCAGAAUAAGCCCCGGCUAACUUCGUGCCAGCAGCCGCGGUA
rnacentral:rRNA from 1 species